rnacentral:rRNA from 1 species
CCUACGGGAGGCAGCAGUGAGGAAUAUUGGUCAAUGGGCGCAAGCCUGAACCAGCCAAGUAGCGUGAAGGAUGACUGCCCUACGGGUUGUAAACUUCUUUUAUAAGGGAGUAAAGUGAGGCACGUGUGCCUUUUUGUAUGUACUUUAUGGAUAAAGAUCGGCUAACUCCGUGCCAGCAGCCGCGGUAAUACGGAGGGUCCGAGCGUUAUCCGGAUUUAUUGGGGUUAAAGGGAGCGUAGAUGGGUUGGUAAGUCAGGUGUGAAAGUUUGCGGCUCAACCGUAAAAUUGCAAUUGAUACUGGCAGUCUUGAGUACAGUAGAGGUAGGCGGAAUUCGUGGUGUAGCGGUGAAAUGCUUAGAUAUCACGAAGAACCCCGAUUGCGAAGGCAGCUUACUAAACUGUGACUGACACUGAUGCUCGAAAGUGUGGGUAUCAAACAGGAUUAGAUACCCGUGUAGUC